rnacentral:rRNA from 1 species
UACGUAGGGGGCUAGCGUUGUCCGGAAUCAUUGGGCGUAAAGCGCGUGUAGGCGGUCCGGUAAGUCUGCUGUGAAAGUCCAGGGCUCAACCCUGGGGAUGCCGGUGGAUACUGUCGGGCUAGAGUGCGGAAGAGGCGAGUGGAAUUCCCGGUGUAGCGGUGAAAUGCGCAGAUAUCGGGAGGAACACCUAUUGCGAAGGCAGCUCGCUGGGACGUAACUGACGCUGAGACGCGAAAGCGUGGGGGAGCAAACAGG